rnacentral:SRP_RNA from 1 species
UCUAGCACGAAAUAACCUGCAAUCCGCUAUAGCAGGAUUGAAUUCCCAGUUUAGGCGUUUAUAGCUUAAGGUCUGCCCUGAAUAAGUGGCAGUGACGAAUGGGUCCUGCGCAAUGGAAACCUAUGAACCCCGUCAGAUCCGGGAGGAAGCAGCGGUAAGUAGACCCUUCCAUGUGCCGUGGGGGUGCCUAUCUCGAGCUAACUGUUUAGGUAACGCUUGAGUUAUAGCGUCAACCCUGGGUGCACGC